CCAAGUAUAAUGUCCUAAUUGGUAAAUAAAAUACCCUAAUCUAGCAAAGUAAUAUGGAACGACAAAGACCAAAGGUCAUAUUCCGACAGUGAGAGCGGAGAGGGAUUUCAACAUAGAAGAGCACGACGAUUGGAGAGCACGACUGAGAAACUUAAGUUGGAGAGCACGACUAAAUUGAGCGUGGUGAUAGGUAGGUUAUUUCAAUCGGAGGUAUUUGAAUAAUAAUUUUGUUCGUGUGAUUGCGUUCUUCUUUCAAUAAUCGAUUGGGUUUUUGAAAGUGUAUUUAUUUUAUUUUAUUUUUUUUUAUUUUGCAGUUGCAAUUUCACCCUCUUUAUACAUCACGAUGGAACAUUUAAGGAAGCACAAGGCUUUGAUGAUAUGGGUAAAAAUGUAGAAUUUUUUUACCUUGGUAUAGACAAGUUUGAGUUUUUUGAUUUGAAGGAGUUAGUUGAGGGUUUAGGUUACUCAGGAUGGGGUAAUUUACUAUAUGUGGAGCCUAAAUCAUAUGUCUUUAAGGUGAUCAAAAUCGAUAAAGAGGUGAUGGAGGUGUUGGGCUUCCUAAGUAGUUCUAACAAAUCUUUAAACGUUUUUGUGAAGGGUGGGAUUAGGUCAGAUGUUGGGGCAAAUGAUGGGCAGAUGAUGGGUUAGAGUCUGGGGCAGGUGAUGGGGAAUAUCA
rnacentral:lncRNA from 1 species